CCUACGGGAGGUAGCAGUGAGGAAUAUUGGUCAAUGGACGAGAGUCUGAACCAGCCAAGUAGCGUGAAGGAUGACUGCCCUAUGGGUUGUAAACUUCUUUUAUAUGGGAAUAAAAUGUUCCACGUGUGGGAUUUUGUAUGUACCAUAUGAAUAAGGAUCGGCUAACUCCGUGCCAGCAGCCGCGGUAAUACGGAGGAUCCGAGCGUUAUCCGGAUUUAUUGGGUUUAAAGGGAGCGCAGGUGGAUUGUUAAGUCAGUUGUGAAAGUUUGCGGCUCAACCGUAAAAUUGCAGUUGAAACUGGCAGUCUUGAGUACAGUAGAGGUGGGCGGAAUUCGUGGUGUAGCGGUGAAAUGCUUAGAUAUCACGAAGAACUCCGAUUGCGAAGGCAGUUCACUGGACUGCAACUGACACUGAGGCUCGAAAGUGUGGGUAUCAAACAGGAUUAGAUACCCUAGUAGUC
rnacentral:rRNA from 1 species